rnacentral:rRNA from 1 species
UACGUAGGGGGGCUAGCGUUGUCCGGAAUCAUUGGGCGUAAAGAGCGUGUAGGCGGUCCGGUAAGUCCGCUGUGAAAGUCGGGGGCUCAACCCUCGAAUGCCGGUGGAUACUGUCGGGCUAGAGUGCGGAAGAGGCGAGUGGAAUUCCUGGUGUAGCGGUGAAAUGCGCAGAUAUCAGGAGGAACACCUAUUGCGAAGGCAGCUCGCUGGGACGUAACUGACGCUGAGACGCGAAAGCGUGGGGAGCAAACGGG